GGUUUCCGUAGGUGAACCUGCGGAAGGAUCAUUAUUGAAUACGUUGGUACUGUUGCUGGCUCUUCACUGAGCAUGUGCACGUCCAUCUAUUUAUCUUCUCUUGUGCACCUUUUGUAGUCUUUUUCUGAAAAAGAGCGAGCAGAGGCAAUCUGCUUUUGCUCUUUUUCAGAGGGGCUACGUUUUCAUAUACACUAUUAAAGUUACAGAAUGUCUUUDAAAGAUUGUGCUAGCCGCAGUCAUUAAACCUAUACAACUUUCAGCAACGGAUCUCUUGGCUCUCCCAUCGAUGAAGAACGCAGCGAAAUGCGAUAAGUAAUGUGAAUUGCAGAAUUCAGUGAAUCAUCGAAUCUUUGAACGCACCUUGCGCCCUUUGGUAUUCCGAAGGGCAUGCCUGUUUGAGUGUCAUUAAAUUAUCAACCUUUUUGCUUUGCUUGCGAAGCAUCUAGGCUUGGAUGUGGGGUUUUUUUGCUGGCUUCCUUCAGUGGAUGGUCUGCUCCCCUUAAAUGCAUUAGCGGGAUCUCUUGUGGACCGUCACUUGGUGUGAUAAUUAUCUAUACCACUUGGCCUUGAAGCAAAUCUUACGAGGACCCGCUCAUAACCGUCCCUCUGGGACAACUCUUGACAUUUUGACCUCAAUCAGGUAGGACACCCG
rnacentral:rRNA from 1 species